UACGUAGGGGGCAAGCGUUGUCCGGAUUUAUUGGGCGUAAAGAGCGUGUAGGCGGCCAAACAGGUCAGCUGUGAAAACUCGAGGCUCAACCUCGAGACGUCGGUUGAAACCGUAUGGCUAGAGUCCGGAAGAGGAGAGUGGAAUUCCAGGUGUAGCGGUGAAAUGCGUAGAUAUCGUAAGGAAGACCAGUGGCGAAGGCGAAUCUCUGGACAGUUACUGACACUGAGGCACGAAGGCCAGGGGAGCAAACGGG
rnacentral:rRNA from 1 species